rnacentral:rRNA from 1 species
CCUGGUGCCAGCAGCCGCGGUAAUUCCAGCUCCAAUAGCGUAUAUUAAAGUUGUUGCGGUUAAAAAGCUCGUAGUUGAAUCUGUGUGCCACACUGUCGGUUCACCGCUCGCGGUGUUCAACUGAUAUGUCUGUGGGACGUCCUGCCGGUGGGCGCAGCCCCUCAAAAGGCGGCCCAACUCAAAAUCCUACCACGGUGCUCUUCACCGAGUGUCGAGGUGGGCCGGUACGUUUACUUUGAACAAAUUAGAGUGCUUAAAGCAGGCUCAUUCGCCUGAAUAUUCUGUGCAUGGAAUAAUGGAAUAGGACCUCGGUUCUAUUUUGUUGGUUUUCGGAACUCCGAGGUAAUGAUUAAUAGGGACAACUGGGGGCAUUCGUAUUGCGACGUUAGAGGUGAAAUUCUUGGAUCGUCGCAAGACGGACAGAAGCGAAAGAAAUGUGUUUUCAUCAAUCAAGAACGAAAGUUAGAGGUUCGAAGGCGAUUAGAUACCGCCCUAGUUCUAACCAUAAACGAUGCCAGCUAGCGAUCCGCCGAAGUUCCUCCGAUGACUCGGCGGGCAGCUUCCGGGAAACCAAAGCUUUUGGGUUCCGGGGGAAGUAUGGUUGCAAAGCUGAAACUUAAAGGAAUUGACGGAAGGGCACCACCAGGAGUGGAGCCUGCGGCUUA